rnacentral:rRNA from 1 species
UUAGAGUUUGAUCCUGGCUCAGAUUGAACGCUGGCGGCAUGCCUUACACAUGCAAGUCGAACGGCAGCGCGGGGCAACCUGGCGGCGAGUGGCGAACGGGUGAGUAAUAUAUCGGAACGUGCCCUGGAGUGGGGGAUAACGCAGCGAAAGUUGCGCUAAUACCGCAUACGAUCUAAGGAUGAAAGCAGGGGACCGCAAGGCCUUGUGCUCCUGGAGCGGCCGAUAUCUGAUUAGCUAGUUGGUGGGGUAAAGGCCUACCAAGGCAUCGAUCAGUAGCUGGUCUGAGAGGACGACCAGCCACACUGGAACUGAGACACGGUCCAGACUCCUACGGGAGGCAGCAGUGGGGAAUUUUGGACAAUGGGCGCAAGCCUGAUCCAGCAAUGCCGCGUGAGUGAAGAAGGCCUUCGGGUUGUAAAGCUCCUUUGUCAGGGAAGAAACGGUAUGGGCUAAUAUCCCGUACUAAUGACGGUACCUGAAGAAUAAGCACCGGCUAACUACGUGCCAGCAGCCGCGGUAAUACGUAGGGUGCAAGCGUUAAUCGGAAUUACUGGGCGUAAAGCGUGCGCAGGCGGUUUUGUAAGUCUGUCGUGAAAUCCU